UACAGAGGUGGCAAGCGUUGUUCGGAAUUACUGGGCGUAAAGGGCGCGUAGGCGGCCCUAUAAGUCUCGUGUGAAAGCCCUCGGCUUAACUGAGGAUCUGCACGGGAUACUGUAGGGCUCGAGUUCGGGAGAGGAAAGCGGAAUUCCGGGUGUAGCGGUGAAAUGCGUAGAUAUCCGGAGGAACACCAGUGGCGAAGGCGGCUCUCUGGUCCGAUACUGACGCUGAGGUGCGAAAGCGUGGGGAGCAAACAGGAUUAGAAACCCUGGUAGU
rnacentral:rRNA from 1 species